UACGAAGGGGGCUAGCGUUGCUCGGAAUCACUGGGCGUAAAGCGCACGUAGGCGGAUUGCUAAGUCAGGGGUGAAAAUCCUGGAGCUCAACUCCAGAACUGCCUUUGAUACUGGCGAUCUUGAGUCCGGGAGAGGUGAGUGGAACUCCGAGUGUAGAGGUGAAAUUCGUAGAUAUUCGGAAGAACACCAGUGGCGAAGGGCGGCUCA
rnacentral:rRNA from 1 species